GCCGUAGCGAAAGCGAGUUUUAACUGAGCGUUCAGUUACUUGACGUAGACCCGAAACCGGGCGACCUACCCAUGAGCAGGAUGAAGCGAAAGUAAAAUUUCGUGGAGGUCCGAACCCACGAGCGUUGAAAAGCUCGGGGAUGACUUGUGGGUAGCGGUGAAAUUCCAAUCGAGCCCGGAGAUAGCUGGUUCUCCCCGAAAUAGCUUUAGGGCUAGCCUCAAGGUGAGAGAUACGGAGGUAGAGCACUGAAUGUCCUAGGGGGUAUUGCACCUACCGAAGACUAUCAAACUCCGAAUGCCGUCAUCUUAUACUUGGGAGUCAGACUGUGGGUGAUAAGAUUCAUAGUCGAAAGGGCAACAGCCCAGAUCGUCAGCUAAGGUCCCUAAAUGUAAGUUAAGUGGUAAAGGAUGUGGGAUUGCACAGACAACCAGGAUGUUGGCUUAGAAGCAGCCACUCAUUCAAAGAGUGCGUAAUAGCUCACUGGUCGAGUGAUCCUGCGCCGAAGAUUUCCGGGGCUAAAACUUACUACCGAAGCUACGGCAUCAGUAAUGAUGGGUAGGGGAGCUUCCCAUACGGGUUGAAGCAUGACCGUAAGGACAUGUGGACAGUAUGGGAGUGAGAAUGUUGGCAUGAGUAGCGAGAUGUGGGUGAGAAUCCCACAGGCCGUAAACCCAAGGUUUCCAGGGGAAGGUUCGUCCGCCCUGGGUUAGUCGGGACCUAAGCUGAGGCCGAAAGGCGUAGGUGAUGGACAACAGGUUGAUAUUCCUGUACUACCGAUAACCGUUUGAGAGAAGGGAUGACACAGUAGGAUAAGCUAAGCACACUGUUGGUUAUGUGUGCCCAAGCAUUGAGGCAGUCAAAGUAGGCAAAUCCGCUUUGAUAAUGCUGGGAUGUGAUGGGGAGCGAAAUUUAGUAGCGAAGUAGCUGAUUUCACACUGUCAAGAAAAGUCUCUAUCGAGGUUAAAGGUACCCGUACCGCAAACCGACACAGGUGGGUGAGGAGAGUAUCCUAAGGCCAGCGAGAGAACUGUUGUUAAGGAACUCGGCAAAAUGACCCCGUAACUUAGGGAUAAGGGGUGCCACCAUCAGGUGGCCGCAGAGAAUAGGCCCAAGCGACUGUUUACCAAAAACAUAGGUUUCUGCUAAGUCGCAAGACGAUGUAUAGGAGCUGACGCCUGCCCGGUGCUGGAAGGUUAAGGGGAUCUGUUAGAGCAAUCGAAGCAGUGAACUUAAGCCCCAGUAAACGGCGGCCGUAACUAUAACGGUCCUAAGGUAGCGAAAUUCCUUGUCGGGUAAGUUCCGACCCGCACGAAAGGCGUAACGAUUUGGGCACUGUCUCAACAACAGACUCGGUGAAAUUGUAAUUCCGGUGAAGAUGCCGGAUACCUGCGACAGGACGGAAAGACCCCAUGGAGCUUUACUGUAGCUUGACAUUGGGUCUUGGUACUACAUGUACAGGAUAGGUGGGAGGCUUUGAAACCAGGACGCCAGUUUUGGCGGAGCCAUCCUUGGGAUACCACCCUUGUAGUACUGGGACUCUAACCAUAGGCCAUGAAUCUGGUCUUGGGACACUGUCAGGUGGGCAGUUUGACUGGGGCGGUCGCCUCCCAAAAGGUAACGGAGGCGCUCAAAGGUUCUCUCAGUACGGUCGGAAAUCGUACGUAGAGUGUAAAGGCAAAAGAGAGCUUGAUUGCAAGACAUACAGGUCGAGCAAGGAUGAAAAUCGGACUUAGUGAUCCGGUGGUUCUGCGUGGAAGGGCCAUCGCUCAACGGAUAAAAGCUACCCUGGGGAUAACAGGCUUAUCUCCCCCAAGAGUCCACAUCGACGGGGAGGUUUGGCACCUCGAUGUCGGCUCAUCACAUCCUGGGGCUGUAGUAGGUCCCAAGGGUUGGGCUGUUCGCCCAUUAAAGUGGUACGCGAGCUGGGUUCAGAACGUCGUGAGACAGUUCGGUCCCUAUCCGUCGCAGGCGUAGGAAAUUUGAGAAGACCUGUCCUUAGUACGAGAGGACCGGGAUGGACGUACCUCUGGUGUACCAGUUGUCCUGCCAAGGGCAUGGCUGGGUAGCUAUGUACGGAAUGGAUAAGCGCUGAAAGCAUCUAAGCGCGAAGCCAACUUCAAGAUAAGAUUUCCCACCGCAAGGGUAAGACCCCAGAAAGACUAUCUGGUUGAUAGGUCGAAGGUGUAAGUGCAGCAAUGUAUUUAGCUUAUCGAUACUAAUAGGUCGAGGACUUGACC
rnacentral:rRNA from 1 species